AGCUGGCGUCUGCCAAAAAAACAACUUGCAGAGGCCAAGUAUAAGGAGUGAGGGAUGGUCCUGGCUGAGGACCAGCUAGCCCCGUUGUCAAAGCAGUUGGAUAUGUUCAAGACCAACCUGGAGGAAUUUGCCAGCAAGCACAAGCAGGAGAUCCGGAAGACUUGUGAGUUCCGUAUGCAGUUCCAGGACAUGUGCAACCGUUGGCAUGGAUCCUUUGGCCUCUGGAAAAGGAUUUUGGUCUGAGAUGCUGGACAUGGGGGACUUUUAUGAAUUAGAUGUCCAAAUUAUUGAAGUGUGCCUGGCGCUGAAGCAUCGGAAGGGAGGUCUGAUAACUCUGGAGGAACUACAUCAACAGGUGUUGAAGGGAAGGGGCAAGUUCACCCAGGAUGUUAGUCAAGACGACCUGAUCAGGGCCAUCAGGAAACUAAAGGCAUUUGGGACUGGCGUAUGCAUCAUCCCUGUGGGCGGCACUUACCUCAUUCAGUCUGUUCCAGCUGAACUCAAUAUGGAUCACACCGUGGUGCUGCAUCUGCCAGAGAAAAAUGGCUACAUGACUGUCAGUAAGAUCAAAGCCAGUCUUAAAUGGGAGACCAAGUAAGCGCGGCAAGUCCUGGAACACCUGCUGAAGGAAGGGCUGGCGUGGCUGGACUUGCCCCGGGGGAGGACCACUGCUGGCUGCCAGGUCUCUUCACUGACCUCUACUCCCAGGAGAUUACAGCUGAGGAGGCCAGAGAAGCCUUCCCCUGACUGCGUGGAAGGGCACACAGUAGCAGGCAGGGAGGAGGAGGAGGGACUACUGGCGAAUAAACCUGGGCAGUUUUGUUUAUA